AGAGUUUGAUCCUGGCUCAGGAUGAACGCUGGCGGCGUGCUUAACACAUGCAAGUCGAACGAAGCACUUAAGACGGAUUACUCGGUUUGAAGUCUAUUUGACUGAGUGGCGGGCGGGUGAGUAACGCGUGGGUAACCUGCCUCAUACAGGGGGAUAACAGUUAGAAAUGACUGCUAAUACCGCAUAAGCGCACGGUCUCGCAUGGGACAGUGUGAAAAACUCCGGUGGUAUGAGAUGGACCCGCGUCUGAUUAGCUGGUUGGUGAGGUAAGGGCUCACCAAGGCGACGAUCAGUAGCCGGCCUGAGAGGGUGAACGGCCACAUUGGGACUGAGACACGGCCCAAACUCCUACGGGAGGCAGCAGUGGGGAAUAUUGCACAAUGGGGGAAACCCUGAUGCAGCGACGCCGCGUGAAGGAAGAAGUAUUUCGGUAUGUAAACUUCUAUCAGCAGGGAAGAAAAUGACGGUACCUGGCUAAGAAGCCCCGGCUAACUACGUG
rnacentral:rRNA from 1 species